rnacentral:rRNA from 1 species
UUGACCUCGGAUCAGGUAGGAAUACCCGCUGAACUUAAGCAUAUCAAUAAGCGGAGGAAAAGAAACCAACAGGGAUUGCCCUAGUAACGGCGAGUGAAGCGGCAACAGCUCAAAUUUGAAAUCUGGCUCUCGGGCCCGAGUUGUAAUUUGUAGAGGAUGCUUUUGAUGCGGUGCCUUCCGAGUUCCCUGGAACGGGACGCCAUAGAGGGUGAGAGCCCCGUCUGGUUGGAUGCCAAAUCUCUGUAAAGCUCCUUCGACGAGUCGAGUAGUUUGGGAAUGCUGCUCUAAAUGGGAGGUAUAUGUCUUCUAAAGCUA